rnacentral:rRNA from 1 species
AACAAUAGCCAUACUGACUUGAAUGUGCCUGAUCUCAUCUGAUCUUGUUGCAGCUAAGCAGGAUUGGAAUUGGUUAUAGUAU